AUUGAACGCUGGCGGCAGGCCUAACACAUGCAAGUCGAGCGGAUGAAGGGAGCUUGCUCCUGGAUUCAGCGGCGGACGGGUGAGUAAUGCCUAGGAAUCUGCCUGGUAGUGGGGGAUAACGUCCGGAAACGGGCGCUAAUACCGCAUACGUCCUGAGGGAGAAAGUGGGGGAUCUUCGGACCUCACGCUAUCAGAUGAGCCUAGGUCGGAUUAGCUAGUUGGUGGGGUAAAGGCCUACCAAGGUGACGAUCCGUAACUGGUCUGAGAGGAUGAUCAGUCACACUGGAACUGAGACACGGUUCAGACUCCUACGGGAGGCAGCAGUGGGGAAUAUUGGACAAUGGGCGAAAGCCUGAUCCAGCCAUGCCGCGUGUGUGAAGAAGGUCUUCGGAUUGUAAAGCACUUUAAGUUGGGAGGAAGGGCAGUAAGUUAAUACCUUGCUGUUUUGACGUUACCAACAGAAUAAGCACCGGCUAACUUCGUG
rnacentral:rRNA from 1 species